GACAGAGGUGCCAAGCGUUAGGCGGAAUCACUGGGCUUAAAGCGUGUGUAGGCGGAUCGUUAAGUACCUUGUGAAAUCCCACGGCUCAACCGUGGAACUGCUGGGUAUACUGGCGAUCUUGAGCCACCUAGGGGCGAGCGGAACAAGCGGUGGAGCGGUGAAAUGCGUAGAUAUCGCUUGGAACGCCAAUGGUGAAACAGCUCGCUGGGGUGUGCUGACGCUGAGACACGAAGCCAGGGAGCGAACGGG
rnacentral:rRNA from 1 species